rnacentral:rRNA from 1 species
GACGAACGCUGGCGGCGUGCUUAACACAUGCAAGUCGAACGGAAAGGCCUUUUCGGAGGUACUCGAGUGGCGAACGGGUGCGUAACACGUGGGUGAUCUGCCCUGCACUCUGGGAUAAGCCUGGGAAACUGGGUCUAAUACCGGAUAGGACCGCACUUUAGUGUGUGUGGUGGAAAGUUUUUUCGGUGUAGGAUGAGCCCGCGGCCUAUCAGCUUGUUGGUGGGGUAAUGGCCUCCCCAGGCGGCGACGGGUAGCCGGACUGAGAGGUUGGUCGGCCACAUUGGGACUGAGAGACGGCCCAGACUCCUACGGGAGGCAGCAGUGGGGAAUAUUGCACAAUGGGCGCAAGCCUGAUGCAGCGACGCCGCGUGGGGGAUGACGGCCUUCGGGUUGUAAACUCCUUUCGCCAGGGACGAAGCGUUUUGUGACGGUACCUGGAGAAGAAGCACCGGCUAACUACGUG